rnacentral:rRNA from 1 species
ACCAGAAGACGUCAGAGCCAACCCGCAAGGGAGGUGGACGGCCAAGGUGAAGCCUCAGACUGGGACUAAGUCGUAACAAGGUAUCCGUAGGUGAACCUGCAGAAGGAUCA